rnacentral:rRNA from 1 species
CGCGGCCUAUCAGCUUGUUGGUGGGGUGAUGGCCUACCAAGGCUGCGACGGGUAGCCGGCCUGAGAGGGUGUCCGGCCACACUGGGACUGAGAUACGGCCCAGACUCCUACGGGAGGCAGCAGUGGGGAAUAUUGCACAAUGGGCGCAAGCCUGAUGCAGCGACGCCGCGUGGGGGAUGACGGCCUUCGGGUUGUAAACCUCUUUCACCAUCGACGAAGCCUUCGGGUGACGGUAGGUGGAGAAGAAGCACCGGCCAACUACGUGCCAGCAGCCGCGGUAAUACGUAGGGUGCGAGCGUUGUCCGGAAUUACUGGGCGUAAAGAGCUCGUAGGUGGUUUGUCGCGUUGUUCGUGAAAUGCCACAGCUUAACUGUGGGCGUGCGGGCGAUACGGGCAGACUGGAGUACUGCAGGGGAGACUGGAAUUCCUGGUGUAGCGGUGGAAUGCGCAGAUAUCAGGAGGAACACCGGUGGCGAAGGCGGGUCUCUGGGCAGUAACUGACGCUGAGGAGCGAAAGCGUGGGGAGCGAACAGGAUUAGAUACCCUGGUAGUCCACGCCGUAAACGGUGGGUACUAGGUGUGGGUUUCCUUCCUUGGGAUCCGUGCCGUAGCUAACGCAUUAAGUACCCCGCCUGGGGAGUACGG